AGAAAAAUAGAAGUUAUCAAUCAGUCAAGUAUCUUAAUAUUAGUUUCGAUGACCCUGCACAAGAUAAUUAAGGCCUCGAUUAUGUAACUAUUAACUGCAUGUUCAUUACUGUUUAUCCUGACUGGUUUCUCCAUUUCAGGACUAACAUUAAGAUCAGAGGUCUCCACUCAGCCCAGACUGGAAGGGCUGCUUUGGCUUUACUCAGAGGGCUUAUCAGGCUGCUGAGGUGAUUGCUGCUGUUAACAAGAUUAAUCGAAGAGUUUUAACUGAAAAACAAAGUCGUUUAAACCCACAAGGACCUUCUGGCUGCAGCAAAAAGAGUACAAGAUCAGGAAUCUACUGAUGAUGAUGAAUUGUCGAUAGAGCGAAAAUGCUAGAGAUUCAACCUAAAAAAGGCCUAACAUUGUGAUCAGAGUUUUCCAUUCAGCCCAGACUAUAAGGGCUAGCUGCUUUGGCUUAAUCAGAGGGCUUAUCAGGCUGCUGAGGUUAUUGCUGCUGUUAACAAAAUUAAUCCAAGUAAUAUAGUUCCAGAACACAGCUUCUUGGAUGCUCGUGGCUUAGGAGCAUGUGAGUUAAAAAAUUUGGAAUCUAUUUCUUAAGUAAGUUUUCAAGAGUUUGUUCAUGGAAGUUCACGGAAAUAUGAAUAUGUGCAAUUUAUUUAUGGUUGGUGACAACAUGUCCAUGGUUAUUUAUUCGGCUGAUUAUAUGCUCCUUGAUAUCUUUUUGAAUGAGUUGUUGCUCCUGUAAUGACACAUGAACUUUCGAAGAUUUAGUGUUUGUGUUAUUAUUUUGGGAACACGGAAUGAAAGUACACGAGCGUGGUGAUUUA